CCUCCUUCCCCCCAUCCCCCUCUCCUAGAUGGCAGGUAGUCCAAUACAUGUUAAAUGUCAAAAUAUAUGUUAAAUUCAAUAUAUGUAUACAUAUUUAUACAGUUAUCUUGCUGCACAAGAAAAAUCAGAUCAAGGAGAAAGAAAACAAAAUGCAAGCAAAGAACAGAAAGAGUGAGAAUGCUGUAUUGUGGUCCAUACUCAGUUCCCAGUGCCCUCUCUCUGGGUAAAGAUGGUUCUCUUCAUCAAAAGACCAUUGGAACUGGCCUGAAUCAUCUCAGGGUUGAAGAGAGUCACGUCCAUCAGAGUUGGUCAUCAUAUAGUACUGUUGUUGAAGUGUAUAAUGAUCUCCUGCUUCUGCUCAUUUCACUUAGCAUCAGUUCAUGUAAGUCUCUCCAAGCCUCUCUCAAAUCAUUCUGCUGAUCAUUUCUUAUAGAACAAUAAUAUUCCAUAGCAUUCACAUACCAUAAUUUAUUUUUUAAUUAUAGCUUUUUAUUUACAAGAUAUAUGCAUGGGUAAUUUUUCAGCAUUGACAAUUGCAAAACCUUUUGUUCCAACUUUUCCCCUCCUUCCCCCCAGCCCUUCCCCCCAGAUGGCAGGUUGGCCAAUACAUGUUAAAUAUGUUAAAGUAUAAAUUAAAUCCAAUAUAUAUAUACAUGUCCAAACAGUACAUACCCUAAUUUAUUCAGCCAUUCUCCAAUUGAUGGGCAUCCACCCAGCUUCCAGUUUCUAGCCACUAUAAUUUUCUUGAGGACAGGACUUGUUAAGGAGUUCAGAGUCAUUUAAUGUUAAUCUAUGAUCAUGUUUCAUGGCCACAGACCAUACUUUUAAAUUACACAGUAAGGUUAUGGAAUGGGAGGGUCAAUGAAAGAGAGUGAGACAGAUUGAGAUUGAGAGAGAACUCUGGGAAUUUAGAUGGGGGAGGAAGAAUGGUUUCAUAUUUCUUUUGAUAUGAAACUAAAUUCAGUAUAAAAAUAUAAACAUUUUAGAAUUUAAAAAAAAUAUGUAUUACAAGUCACAUGAAACAUUCAUUAUUCCUUUCCCUCAAGUCUUAUGAGCAUCAAAAAAUAAUUCUGACAAUGAGAAUGAGCUCAUUUAAUCACAUCUCCAGCAUAUCUUGUCUAGAACUGAAGCUAAAUAUUUAUCCUCAGUCUUCAGCCUGAAUUGUGUUACUCUUAGCAAGUUUGAGAUUAUUUUUUUACACAGCCCAAUCUCAACUUUUCCAUUGCUUUUUGAAAAGAAUCCAAGAUGAAGUCAUUAAUGUUGUCUUCCAAAGAAGUCCAUGAGAAUAGCUCUUUGUCUAGAUAAGAGGGAGGACAUUUCCAUGGAUUUAAGGUUGGAAUGAAAAAAAGGUUUGGAAUGCUUACUAUUACAGGUUACCAGUUCGGUUUUACCUGUAGGAAUCAGAGAAUAAAACUUUAUUGCAACUUCUCCAAAUAUUUCACUUUAGUUCCUUAUUCAAAUUGAGAGUUUUGUUAAGAAUUAUGAGGAGGUCAAAACAAUAUUGUAGUUGGGAGUGUUGGCAAUUUACUACUCCAUUUCUUGGUAUUCCUUUGCUUCUUAUUCUUUCCCCUAUUCAGAAGCAAAAUAAGUAGACCAAAUAACAGUAAUAAAAUAACAACAUCAUCAGUGCUUAUACAGUGAUUUAAGAUUUGAAAAAAAAAUUUUUUUUAACAAAUUUAGGUGUUUGUCAUUUUUUGCUCCUAAUUUGGAGUAAACAUCCUGUCU
rnacentral:lncRNA from 1 species